rnacentral:rRNA from 1 species
AAACCAGCACCUCAAGUGGUCAGGAGGUUUAUUGGGCCUAAAGCAUCCGUAGCCUGAUCUAUAAGUUUCCGGUUAAAUCCAAAUGCUCAACAUUUGGGCUGCCGGAAAAACUGUAGAUCUAGGGAGUGGGAGAGGUAGACGGUACUCGGUAGGAAGGGGUAAAAUCCUUUGAUCUAUUGAUGACCACCAGUGGCGAAGGCGGUCUACCAGAACACGUUCGACGGUGAGGGAUGAAAGCUGGGGGAGCAAACCGGAUUAGAAACCCGAGUAGUCC